CUGGGAGAGGUGAGCCAUUUCUGGGAAGGGCUGGCUGGAUCCAGAUUCUUUGGAAGUGACCUAACUCAAGCUUGGGGCCAGGUGGAGCCUGAACAGUGUGUGAGACUGCAUUUCAGACAAUGGCCCAAGGGCUGCUGUGACACAGCUUCAGUGAGAAGAGAGAAUAGAUACGUGGACUUAAUCGUUGUGGGGAAGACGCCAAACAGCUGCCUAGUGCAUGGGGUCUGUUUCUCUGUGUCUUUUGGCUAAGGUGGCUUUACCCCAUCCCUCUCACCCAUUGGUCAGUGCUGCCUGGGGAAUGGCAAUUCCAGGAAAUUCUGGCCCUCAGUGGGCAUUCAAGCAAAGGGCCCCCUAGCUGCCCUGACAAUCAACACAGGUGCCUGGUGUUAAAAAGGGAAGUGGGGGGCCAUGGAUGGAGCAUCUGGGAGCCUGCUUCUGUUCCCGUCCUUCCUGGCUGCUCUGUUAAAGGUACAAAUCAGGAGGUUGGUUGUGUCAUUCAAUGGUGGAGUGCUCACCUACCAUGUAUGAGGCCCUCAGUUCCAUCCUAGCACUGAGAGGAGGAGGAGGAGGAGGAGGAGGAGGAGGAGAUGAUGAUGGUGGCUGCCAGGGGCUGGGGAUGAUGGUGGGAGGAAUGGGGAGUGGCUGCUAAUGAAUGUGAGGUUUUCUUUAGGGGUGAUGAAAAUGUUCUGAACUAUAAAAAGGUUAUGGUUGUACACUAUUGUGUACUAAAUGCCACUGAAUUGCACCCUGCAAAAUGGACAUUUUUAUGUUAGAUAAGUUUUACCACACAAAAAAGAAGUGUCCAUAGAACUAUAAGCCUCUAGUAUGCUCUGAAGCUUCCCAUGGCCCUCCAUUGCCUCAAAGGACAAGAUGCACACUCCACCUGAUGCCCAGGAGCCCCUGGCGGCCACACUACUGGAAUUCCCCAUCCUUGUAGCCCGUCUCCUCUCCCACAUUAUUCCUCCCGCCCUGGCCUCUGGAAGCAGCUGCUCCUCUGCCAACCAAGAUCAUUCUUGCCUCAGGGCCUUUACACAUGCCAUUUCUGCUACUUGGCAUGUCUGAUUCACCUUCAAGUUUCCAGUGAAAAUAUCAGUCUGGUCCCUAGUGUUGCCCUUCCUUUCCUUUCCUUUCCCCUCUUUUCAGAACCAGGGAGGGAACCCAGGGCCAGCCUCACACAUGCUAAGCAAGUGCUCUAACAUGGAGCCACACCCCCAACCUUUUUUUUUCCCCCCUUGAGACAGGAUCUUGCUAAAUUACCCAGGCUGGACUCAAAUUUUCAAUCCUCCUGACUCAGUUUCUUGAGUAACUGGAAUGAUGUGCACCACCACGCCAGCCUCAGUGUUGCCUUUACUUUGUCCUUCAGGUGUUUUCUUCCAGUACUGACCGCAGUUUAUAAUUUAACUGUGGUUUUAGUCUUCCAGGAAUAAGUUGUGUGGUGAAGGAAUGAAUGAGUGAGUGAAGAGACCAGAGGAUAAACUGCCAGUGAAAUGCCAGAGGGAAUUUCAGCAGACUUUGGACAAUGCCCUGGGCGGAAGCAAUGCUUACUCAUCCAUUUGACACAGGAAGAGACUGUCUUGGCUCAGAUCUGAUGCUUAUUCUCCUAAGAUCACAGCUGCCUCUGAAAACAAAGAGCAACAAUUGCUGCCAGCACGUGCUUUUUUACUUCCUUUUUAAACAUUCUUCAAUGGAUUUUCCUUUAUAGGCUUGCAUUCUGGUUCCGCUGAGGCACACGGCUGGGGAGGAGGGUGGACCAGGAAAAGUCCCCUCCUGGACACCACCCAUUUCCCCAUAAUGUGGACAGUUUGGAGCAGACCCAUCUUCUUUGUGCUCAAACACAGCCAAACAUUCCUUAUACAAAGGGUUUGCCCAUAUUUAAUACAUUUUUCCCCCCAAACCACCCCAUGUUUUGCAACUGGAUUUUCUUUUUUUGCAAAACUGGGGAUGGAACCCAAGUCUUCAUGCGUGCUUGCCAAACACUCUAUAGUUGAGCUGCACCCACUCCCAGCCCAUAACCUCACUGUAAAUUGAAGGCCAACUGUGUUCACUGUCUGCCUGCAUUGCUUUGCUAUGAAUCCCUUGUGUGUCUGCAUCUCAUCUGAUCCCCAGGAAGGAGGAGCAUCCUUACUCUAUCAUGAACACAUGAAGGGGUGAAGUGAACCUUGCACGGUGGCGCAUAUGUGUGUAUGAGGAGCUUCAAAACCGGAUGAGGUGCAGUGAGUGGUACCUGCCUGUCACCUCAGCAAUUUGAGAGGCUGAAGCAGGAGGAUAGCAAGUUCAGGGCCAUUCUCUAACAGUGAGACCCUCUUAAAACAUAAAGGGCAGGUGGGGAUGUAGCUUAAUGGCAGAGAGACUCUGGGUUCAAUCCCCGGUACCAGAACUAACAAACACCAGAUGAGGGGGCCAGGAAUGUGGCUGAGUGGCACAGCCCUUUUGUCCAGCAUGCAUGAGGCUCUGGGUUCCAUCCAAGCUCUGCAAAAACCAAAUGAGACUUCCUGAGAUGGUGCUAGGUCUCAGUUUCUGCUUUGGGAAAUGGGCUGGCUUUCACUGGAUGGGAAAGUUGUUUUUUUUAGUUGUAGGUGGACAAAAUACCUUUAUUUUAUUUUUAUGUGGUGCUGAGGAUCGAACACAGAGCCUCACGCAUGCUAGGUAAGUGCUCUACCACUGAGCCACAACCCCAGUCCUGGAUGGGGAAGGUUUUGAGUCGAGAAAAGCCACCCCUCAUCAGAAAAUUGGUUACAGUUGGUUGGCCUGGAGUCCACGUUUUGUGAUCUUUAAUUUUCAAAAUGAAUCCAAGGCUGAGGUUUUCAUCCUGGUUUGCAUAGAACUCAAUCAACUUUUUGUUGUACUAAAGUCAUGUCAGCAAAGAUUUCAAACCAUGCAGAAAUGUAUGAGAUAAAUUAAAAAUUCCAUCCUGCAACCCAGUCCGCUUUGUAAUACGUAAUUGUGGAAUUUUCCAGAAUUUGUUAUUCGGUGUUUGUGUAUUUGACUGACUUAACUUUCAUCCCUCUUUCCCUCUCCCUCCUUCCCUCCCUCCUUCACCUGUCUUACUUUGUUGCCCAGGCUGAGCUCAAACUCCUGAGCUCAAGUGAUCUUCCUGCCCUAGUCUCCCAAUGUACUUCUGUU
rnacentral:lncRNA from 1 species